GACGAACGCUGGCGGCGUGCUUAACACAUGCAAGUCGAACGGUGAGGCCCUUCUCUUUUUGGUGGCUCUAGUUGCGAACGGAUGAGUAACACGACAGUAGCCUGCCCUGGACUUUUGUAUAGCUUCAGGAAACUGGAGCGUAUCCCGGAUAGGAUCUCCUGCUUCUGGGGGGGGGUUGGACAGUUUCGGCGGUUGGGUAUGUACUCGCGGGUCAUCAGCUUGUUGGGGGGGUAGUGGCUUAAGAAGGCUUUGACGGGUAGACGGCCUGAGAGGGUGACCGGCCACACUGGGACUGCGACGCGGGGCAGCAGCCUACGAGAGGGAGCAGUGGGGAAAAGUGUAAAAUAGGGGGAAGCCGGAUGCAGCAAAGCCGCGUGCGGGAUGACGGUCUUCGGGUUGUAAACCGGUUUCGCCUGUGACGAAGCGUGAGUGACGGUAAUGGGUAAAGAAGCACCGGCUAACUACGUG
rnacentral:rRNA from 1 species